rnacentral:rRNA from 1 species
AUUUGGCGGACGGGUGAGUAAUGCCUAGGAAUCCGCCUGGUAGUGGGGGAUAACGUUCCGAAAGGAACGCUAAUACCGCGUACGUCCUACGGGAGAAAGCAGGGGACCUUCGGGCCUCGCGCUAUCAGAUGAGCCUAGGUCGGAUUAGCUAGUUGGUGAGGUAAUGGCUCACCAAGGCGACGAUCCGUAACUGGUCUGAGAGGAUGAUCAGUCACACUGGAACUGAGACACGGUCCAGACUCCUACGGGAGGCAGCAGUGGGGAAUAUUGGACAAUGGGCGAAAGCCUGAUCCAGCCAUGCCGCGUGUGUGAAGAAGGUCUUCGGAUUGUAAAGCACUUUAAGUUGGGAGGAAGGGCAGUAAGUUAAUACCUUGCUGUUUUGACGUUACCGACAGAAUAAGCACCGGCUAACUUCGUGCCAGCAGCCGCGGUAAUAA